rnacentral:rRNA from 1 species
GCUGUCUAGUGUACCAGAAAAAAGGUAKAUAGAGAAAAUUAUAWAUAAAAGWUAUCRCUCAWGCGUAWUUAAGUUGUUGCAGUUAAAARGCUCGUAGUUGAAUUUCGGGGUUCCACCGUUGGUCGGGCUAUUGUYUGUACUGGCGUGUGGAAUUUCUACCUUCUGGGGAACUAUCAUGUUAUUAAUUUAGCGUGGUAGGAAACCAGGACCUUUACCUUGAAAAAAUUAGAGUGUUCAAAGCAGGCUUAUGUCUGAAUACAUUAGCAUGGAAUAAUAAAAUAGGACGGUGGUCCUGUUUUGUUGGUUUCUGAAUCACCGUAAUGAUUAAUAGGGAUAGUUGGGGGCAUUAGUAUUCAAUUGUCAGAGGUGAAAUUCUUGGAUUUAUUGAAGACUAACUACUGCGAAAGCAUUUGCCAAGGAUGUUUUCAUUAAUCAAGAACGAAAGUUAGGGGAUCGAAGACGAUCAGAUACCGUCGUAGUCUUAACCAUAAACUAUGCCGACUAGGGAUCGGACGAUGUUAAYUUUUCUUGACUCGUUCGGCGCCUAMCGGGRAAAMAA